AUUGAACGCUGGCGGCAGGCCUAACACAUGCAAGUCGAACGAGUGGCGGACGGGAGAGUAAUGUCUGGGAAACUGCCUGAGGGAGGGGGAUAACUACUGGAAACGGUAGCUAAUAACGCAUACCAUCGGAUGUGCCAAGAUGGGAUUAGCUAGUAGGUGGGGUAAAGGGUCACCUAGGCGACGAUCCCUAGCUGGUCUGAGAGGAUGACCAGCCACACUGGAACUGAGCCACGGUCCAGACUCGUACGGUAGGCAGCCGUGGGGAAUAUUUCACAAUGUGCGCAAGCCUGAUGCAGCCAUGCCGCGUGUAUGAAGAAGGCCUUCGGGUUUUAAAGUACUUUCAGCGUGGAGGCUUUACCCGCAGAAGAAGCACCGGCGAACUCCGUGCCAGCAGCCGCGGUAAUCC
rnacentral:rRNA from 1 species